rnacentral:miRNA from 1 species
AUGCAGAUCACCUUAGGAUCUUGUUAAAAUGCAGAUUCUGGCUUAGUAGGAAUGAAUUCUGAAUUUCAAAGAAACUCCCAGGUGAUUCUAAU